GCAGACUUCCCGGGUACAAAGCGCCGCAGUCGCUGGGCCUCGGGCCUCCGCAAACGCUGCGCCUGCGCUGCAGAAACCCCUCCUCCCUCCCCAGGAGAGGGCUUUCUGGGCCGGGGACGGGGGUGGGGGGGAGGACGCCCGGCCCCAUACCCUCUGCAAAGCACUGGAGCCGCGAAGCCCGCCCCGGAGCCCAAGCCCGGUGACUGCCUGGUCCACAGGAAGUAAAACGCACCCUCUAGGGAGACCGUGAGCCCCUUGGCUCCGCAGUCCCGACCCUCGAGAGCGUCUGGAGCCCCAGGCGCGCUGGAGGCGCCGCCUUUUGUCCAGUCCCCGAGGAGCCAUGGAGAAAGGGAAGAGAGGGCCAGAGGAGGAGAGGGAGUGGUGGAGAAGGUGGAGAAGCUGAGGUUCAAGAGGGCGAAGUGCCUUGGCUGGAAACAGGGUUCCCUGGCACCGACCCCAGCUUCUGGAUCCACAGCCCUGAGGCCUCCUGCUUGGGUUCAGAAGCCCGGAUCCCAGACCUCCCCCUGUCAGGGCGCCCAAUUCAGGACCACGGAGAGUUCCCGAGCUACCGGGACAGCAGGCGGAAGGCGAGGCGGAAGGCGAGGCGGAAGGGGAGCAGCAGGAGACCCAGUAUUGCAUCCUAUCAGCCACAGGCUGCCCCAGCGCCCCCUCCCCCACUCCUCCAGGAAGCCCUCCCAGAUUUCUGUAUGGAUGGAGCUCUGCUUCCUCCCUCUCGCUUUAUUCCUUUCAUAGUAUGUAAGGGGAGAAGGGUUAAUAAAAAAUGAUAGUAAAAUUCAAAA